UUCAGUGAUGCCUCUGUCCAAGUGGACGU
rnacentral:sRNA from 1 species